CCUACGGGUGGCAGCAAUGGGGAAUAUUGCACAAUGGGGGAAACCCUGAUGCAGCGACGCCGCGUGAGUGAAGAAGUAUUUCGGUACGUAAAGCUCUAUCAGCAGGGAAGAAAAUGACGGUACCUGACUAAGAAGCCCCGGCUAACUACGUGCCAGCAGCCGCGGUAAUACGUAGGGGGCAAGCGUUAUCCGGAUUUACUGGGUGUAAAGGGAGCGUAGACGGCAGCGCAAGUCUGGAGUGAAAUCCCAUGGCUUAACCAUGGAACUGCUUUGGAAACUGUGCAGCUAGAGUGCAGUAGAGGUAAGCGGAAUUCCUAGUGUAGCGGUGAAAUGCGUAGAUAUUAGGAGGAACACCAGUGGCGAAGGCGGCUUACUGGACUGUAACUGACGUUGAGGCUCGAAAGCGUGGGGAGCAAACAGGAUUAGAUACCCGAGUAGUC
rnacentral:rRNA from 1 species